GCCAGAGUAGUUUCAUGGUUUGAGUGCUGGACUAUGACUCUGGAAACCAGGGUUCGAUUCCCUGCUCGGCCA